AGAGCGAACGCUGGCGGCAGGCUUAACACAUGCAAGUCGAGCGGGCGUAGCAAUACGUCAGCGGCAGACGGGUGAGUAACGCGUGGGAACAUACCUUUUGGUUCGGAACAACACAGGGAAACUUGUGCUAAUACCGGAUAAGCCCUUACGGGGAAAGAUUUAUCGCCGAAAGAUUGGCCCGCGUCUGAUUAGCUAGUUGGUGGGGUAACGCCCACCAAGGCGACGAUCAGUAGCUGGUCUGAGAGGAUGAUCAGCCACAUUGGGACUGAGACACGGCCCAAACUCCUACGGGAGGCAGCAGUGGGGAAUAUUGGACAAUGGGCGAAAGCCUGAUCCAGCCAUGCCGCGUGAGUGAUGAAGGCCCUAGGGUUGUAAAGCUCUUUUGUGCGGGAAGAUAAUGACGGUACCGCAAGAAUAAGCCCCGGCUAACUUCGUGCCAGCAGCCGC
rnacentral:rRNA from 1 species